GACGAACGCUGGCGGCGUGCUUAACACAUGCAAGUCGAACGGAAAGGCCCUGCUUGCAGGGUACUCGAGUGGCGAACGGGUGAGUAACACGUGGGUGAUCUGCCCUGCACUUCGGGAUAAGCCUGGGAAACUGGGUCUAAUACCGGAUAGGAGCCAUUUUUAGUGUGAUGGUUGGAAAGUUUUUUCGGUGUAGGAUGAGCUCGCGGCCUAUCAGCUUGUUGGUGGGGUAAUGGCCUACCAAGGCGGCGACGGGUAGCCGGCCUGAGAGGGUGGACGGCCACAUUGGGACUGAGAUACGGCCCAGACUCCUACGGGAGGCAGCAGUGGGGAAUAUUGCACAAUGGGCGCAAGCCUGAUGCAGCGACGCCGCGUGGGGGAUGACGGCCUUCGGGUUGUAAACUCCUUUCGCUAGGGACGAAGCUUUUUGUGACGGUACCUAGAGAAGAAGCACCGGCCAACUACGUG
rnacentral:rRNA from 1 species